rnacentral:lncRNA from 1 species
UGACUUCGAUAUAUCCCUGACCAACAGUCCGAGGCCCUCCAAUUACAAUAAGCCUAUCGCCACAUGCCCUAAACGCCAAACCCCAACCAUUCGUAGAAUCAGCUCGUUCUGGCAAUCUUCCUACGGUAAUCCACACUUUAUUAUUCUUGUCAUACUUUCUCAGUGCCAUGUCAGCAUAAUCAGCAGCAUAUAAUUCAUUAUUUACAACAGCAAUCAACGGAGGUGCUUCGGACGUAGCAGGUCGAUCGAAUUCCCUGGCCACAUCAGUCCGCACUGGGGACAUGUUAGGUAUUUCAGUCCAAGUCUCGGUUUCCAGAUUAUAUUCCUCUCCACAUGUGAGAAGCUUCGACUCUGUUCCUCCAAUUCCUCCAAUCACAUAAAACUUUCCAUCCAUGAACACCCCAGAACACAUCUUCCUCGGUUUCUUCAUGCUUGGAAGUGUCUUCCAAAUUCCCAAUUCAGAAUUAUAGAGCUCUGCGGAACCCUAAAGUUUACAGCGGUGUACUCACUUCAGUGGUCCUGAAAAGACUCGAAUUGAUGACCAUUGGGGAGUAAACCCAAUGUCUGAUCAUUGAGCUACUUCUCAGAGUUGAGACUUGAAUAUUUUACUACCACAUAAUUAUCAAAUAGCUAUCUUAAAAACACAAAGUUAUUAGAAAAUGUUCAACACAAGUAAAAUGAAGAUAACAUAGCAUUAUGGACACUGUCAAAAUCAACAGUAUACAGAUAAUUUGUAAUUCAAAACUAAAGAAAAUUUUCCUCACUUUUGAAACAAGUUAUUCUAUCAAUAAAACAGGUUCAGAUAUCAAAAUUAAGAGAAUUAGUUUGAACUUUCCAUUUUAUAUAUCGAAGAGAGAACUUCACCAAAAACAUGGUUUACAUCAUUCAAAGGGUCAAAUAAUAGCGAUUCAAUGACUGGAGUCACUUGACGUAUUUAAGAACCAGAAUAAAACGUUAUAGAAAUAUGCAAGAACAUCCAUUCAAACUAGCCAAAGAAAAGCAUAAACUUCGGGAUAAAAGAGAACAGGAAGCUGCUAUAAAGCUGCAAAGAGUAACCGAAGAAAAAAGAUCACUUUAUAGCCGAUGCUCCCAGUAAACAUGUUCAUGCCUUAUUGUUUUCCCCUUCAUACAAUUCCAAGAACUUGAAAAAUCGAAUCACUGAAUUCUAUGAGAUAACCUUCAUAAGACACCAACGAAAACCUAUAAAUGUAUUCCUCCUAGAAGUUAUUCGAACAUUUUUCUGCGCAAAGGUCAACUUUGAUAUUUUCUCAUGUUACUUCAAAGGGAGAAGGCAAUUUACAGGAAGAAAAUUUAGAUUUAGUUUUAAAAAGAUGUACCCAAGACUACCUCAAAGAGAACAAUCAAUCGAAUCUUGAGUAAAAUAUAAUCCUUCUGAUCCUCCUCCAAGUGAAAGGGAAAAAAGUUGAAAAUGCAAACUUGCAAGAAAUUACCCAUUAGUAGUAAUCAGGUGCAUCUGGGAUCCAAUCCAUCGGAGAGCGAGGCACUCAAUUUGAAUGGUACAGACUGCACCGAAACACAAAUGAUCAGCAUCCCAUCACAGCACAAUUGUAAACAAAACUGCCAGAUUGUUUUCGGCCGAGCAAGACCCAUUGCGGCGGACCUUCAAUUGGAACCCAUGCAUUGACUUCGAUAUAUCCCUGACCAACAGUCCGAGGCCCUCCAAUUACAAUAAGCCUAUCGCCACAUGCCCUAAACGCCAAACCCCAACCAUUCGUAGAAUCAGCUCGUUCUGGCAAUCUUCCUACGGUAAUCCACACUUUAUUAUUCUUGUCAUACUUUCUCAGUGCCAUGUCAGCAUAAUCAGCAGCAUAUAAUUCAUUAUUUACAACAGCAAUCAACGGAGGUGCUUCGGACGUAGCAGGUCGAUCGAAUUCCCUGGCCACAUCAGUCCGCACUGGGGACAUGUUAGGUAUUUCAGUCCAAGUCUCGGUUUCCAGAUUAUAUUCCUCUCCACAUGUGAGAAGCUUCGACUCUGUUCCUCCAAUUCCUCCAAUCACAUAAAACUUUCCAUCCAUGAACACCCCAGAACACAUCUUCCUCGGUUUCUUCAUGCUUGGA